rnacentral:rRNA from 1 species
AUGCUUCUCCUAAAGACUAAGCCAUGCAUGCCUUCGAAUACGAAGAAGCAAUUCUCUCUGAAUCUGCGAACGGCUCCGCAAACCAGUUGUAAACUAUAGCAAGCUAGUCCGGGUUCGGCCUUCACGGGUCGGGCCCAGGUCAACACGGAUAACCCUGGUAAUUCUGAGGCUAAUACGGGAACGCAACAACUUGACUGACCGGUUUACUGGGAUGUCGGGGGACGUGCUUGUGGGUUUCGCAAGAAUAACCGGGAAGGGGUGCACGUUCGGACCGCGAUAAAGACGGAGAAGCUUCGGCUGACCCGAGCGGCUCUUGCGUUGUGCUUCUGACCUAUCAACUAGAUGGCAGCGUAACGGACAUGCUAUGGUUGCAACGGGUACAGAGGAUUAGGGUUCGAUCCUGGAGAGUGGGCCUGAGAGAUUGCUCAUACUUCUAAGGAAGGCAGCAGGCGCGCAACGUUCCCCUUGGACAAUGUCCGAGGGCGUUAGGGGAAAUAUGAAUGCCUGCCUUUUGGUGGGCAAUUCAAAUGGGUCUGUUCUAAACAGUCUC